rnacentral:rRNA from 1 species
UACGUAGGGUGCGAGCGUUGUCCGGAAUUACUGGGCGUAAAGAGCUCGUAGGUGGUUUGUCGCGUUGUUCGUGAAAACUCACAGCUCAACUGUGGGCGUGCGGGCGAUACGGGCAGACUAGAGUACUGCAGGGGAGACUGGAAUUCCUGGUGUAGCGGUGGAAUGCGCAGAUAUCAGGAGGAACACCAAUAGCGAAGGCAGCUCGCUGGGACGUACUGACACUGAGGCGCGAAAGCGUGGGGAGCGAACAGG